GACGAACGCUGGCGGCGUGCUUAACACAUGCAAGUCGAACGAAGAGCGAUGGAAGCUUGCUUCUAUCAAUCUUAGUGGCGGACGGGUGAGUAACGCGUAAUCAACCUGCCCUUCAGAGGGGGACAACAGUUGGAAACGCCUGCUAAUACCGCAUACGAUCUCAUCUCGGCAUCGAGGAUAGAUGAAAGGUGGCCUCUACAUGUAAGCUAUCACUGAAGGAGGGGAUUGCGUCUGUUUAGCUAGAUGGCGGGGUAGCGGACCACCAAGGUGAUGAUCAGUAGCAGGACGGAUAUGACGAACGGCCAGACUGGGACGGAGACACGGCCCAGACGCCUACGGGGAGCAGCAGUGGGGAAUCUGCCGGAAUGGGUGAAAGACUGACGGAGCAACGCCGCGGGAGGGAUGACGGCCGUCGGGUUGGAAAGCUCGGUUAAUCGGGACGAAAGGGCUUCUUGCGAAGAGUGAGAAGGAUUGACGGUACCGGAAUAGAAAGCCACGGCUAACUACGUG
rnacentral:rRNA from 1 species